UAAUAAUACUAGAAUAUAAAUUUGCAAUAUUCAGAGGUAGAUGAAGAGCAGGCCUGAUCGUAACCCUUGGCUAGCGAAAAUGAGGUUCUUGUCACAUAAUCGACUACGUGUACUAUCAAUUUCAACACUGAAUAAAGUCAAACGAUACGAUUUUUAAAGAUAUAUAAAUUUUAUCAGUUUUACAGUUGUUCAAAGUCGAGACAACCGGAAAUACUACUAAUAAACAAACACAUGUGAUAGACCACCUAAAAGGAGCUGCAGACUGUAUAAUGAACGGCUUUUGGAUAUCAAAUCUACUAACAGGAAUACUUUUUGUUAUUUCUGGUUGCAAAGGAUUCCAGUACCCGGAGUCAGAACCAUGCAUUAUAGUAAAUAUGGACGCCACAAUUCAACUGACUCAACUUGGAACUCAACCGGUAGAAGUAAAAUCAUCUUUGAACAGCUCCAAAGUAGACAAAGGAUUUUGUGCAGGUGCCAGCGGCUCUACAGCCAAUUUAAUAUUACAAACUACAGCUCCUUUACCAGCGAGGAUUACAUUAUUAUUUAGCAAAGACGGACAAUCUGUUGUCUUUAUGGAUAUUUCAGCACUUUUCGAUCCAGAUGUUAUUUUUAAUAAUACAG